UGGGGAAUAUUGCGCAAUGGGGGAAACCCUGACGCAGCGACGCCGCGUGCGGGAUGAAGGCCUUCGGGUUGUAAACCGCUUUUGAUUGGGAGCAAGCUUUCGGGUGAGUGUACCUUUCGAAUAAGAGCCGGCUAACUACGUGCCAGCAGCCGCGGUAAUACGUAGGGCGCAAGCGUUAUCCGGAAUUAUUGGGCGUAAAGAGCUUGUAGGCGGUUCGUCGCGUCUGGUGUGAAAGCCCAUCGCUUAACGGUGGGUUUGCGCCGGGUACGGGCGGGCUAGAGUGCAGUAGGGGAGACUGGAAUUCCCGGUGUAACGGUGGAAUGUGUAGAUAUCGGGAAGAACACCAAUGGCGAAGGCAGGUCUCUGGGCUGUUACUGACGCUGAGAAGCGAAAGCGUGGGGAGCGAACAGG
rnacentral:rRNA from 1 species